AACGAACGCUGGCGGCAUGCCUAACACAUGCAAGUCGAACGAGACCUUCGGGUCUAGUGGCGCACGAGUGCGUAACGCGUGGGAACCUGCCCUUAGGUUCGGAAUAACUCCCCGACAGGGGUGCUAAUACCGGAUAAUGUCUUCGGACCAAAGAUUUAUCGCGCUUGGAUGUGCCCGCGUUGGAUUAGCUUGUUGGUAGGGUAAAAGCCUACCAAGGCGACGAUCCAUAGCUGGUCUGAGAGAAUGAUCAGCCACACUGGGACUGGGACACGGCCCAGACUCCUACGGGAGGCAGCAGUGGGGAAUAUUGGACCAUGGGCGAAAGCCUGAUCCAGCAAUGCCGGGUGAGUGAUGAAGGCCUUAGGGUUGUAAAGCUCUUUUACCCGGGAUGAUAAUGACAGUACCGGGAGAAUAAGCUCCGGCUAACUCCGUG
rnacentral:rRNA from 1 species